GACGAACGCUGGCGGCGUGCUUAACACAUGCAAGUCUAACGGAAAGGCCCUGCUUUUGUGGGGUGCUCGAGUGGCGAACGGGUGAGUAACACGUGAGUAACCUGCCCUUGACUUUGGGAUAACUUCAGGAAACUGGGGCUAAUACCGGAUAGGAGCUCCUGCUGCAUGGUGGGGGUUGGAAAGUUUCGGCGGUUGGGGAUGGACUCGCGGCUUAUCAGCUUGUUGGUGGGGUAGUGGCUUACCAAGGCUUUGACGGGUAGCCGGCCUGAGAGGGUGACCGGCCACAUUGGGACUGAGAUACGGCCCAGACUCCUACGGGAGGCAGCAGUGGGGAAUAUUGCACAAUGGGCGGAAGCCUGAUGCAGCAACGCCGCGUGCGGGAUGACGGCCUUCGGGUUGUAAACCGCUUUCGCCUGUGACGAAGCGUGAGUGACGGUAAUGGGUAAAGAAGCACCGGCUAACUACGUGCCAGCAGCCGCGGUGAUACGUAGGGUGCGAGCGUUGUCCGGAUUUAUUGGGCGUAAAGGGCUCGUAGGUGGUUGAUCGCGUCGGAAGUGUAAUCUUGGGGCUUAACCCUGAGCGUGCUUUCGAUACGGGUUGACUUGAGGAAGGUAGGGGAGAAUGGAAUUCCUGGUGGAGCGGUGGAAUGCGCAGAUAUCAGGAGGAACACCAGUGGCGAAGGCGGUUCUCUGGGCCUUUCCUGACGCUGAGGAGCGAAAGCGUGGGGAGCGAACAGGCUUAGAUACCCUGGUAGUCCACGCUGUAAACGGUGGGUACUAGGUGUGGGGUCCAUUCCACGGGUUCCGUGCCGUAGCUAACGCUUUAAGUACCCCGCCUGGGGAGUACGGCCGCAAGGCUAAAACUCAAAGGAAUUGACGGGGCCCCGCACAAGCGGCGGAGCAUGCGGAUUAAUUCGAUGCAACGCGUAGAACCUUACCUGGGUUUGACAUGGAUCGGGAGUGCUCAGAGAUGGGUGUGCCUCUUUUGGGGUCGGUUCACAGGUGGUGCAUGCCUGUCGUCAGCUCGUGUCGUGAGAUGUUGGGUUAAGUCCCGCAACGAGCGCAACCCUUGUUCACUGUUGCCAGCACGUUAUGGUGGGGACUCAGUGGAGACCGCCGGGGUCAACUCGGAGGAAGGUGGGGAUGACGUCAAGUCCUCAUGCCCCUUAUGUCCAGGGCUUCACGCAUGCUACAAUGGCUGGUACAGAGAGUGGCGAGCCUGUGAGGGUGAGCGAAUCUCGGAAAGCCGGUCUCAGUUCGGAUUGGGGUCUGCAACUCGACCUCAUGAAGUCGGAGUCGCUAGUAAUCGCAGAUCAGCAACGCUGCGGUGAAUACGUUCCCGGGGCU
rnacentral:rRNA from 1 species